rnacentral:tRNA from 1 species
GAGAGUAUAGCUCAGUGGUAGAACACAUGCUUGGCAUGCACGAGGUCCUGGGUUCAAUCCCUGGUACCUCCA